UUAAAUUGAAGAGUUUGAUCAUGGCUCAGAUUGAACGCUGGCGGCAGGCCUAACACAUGCAAGUCGAACGGUAACAGGAAGCAGCUUGCUGCUUUGCUGACGAGUGGCGGACGGGUGAGUAAUGUCUGGGAAACUGCCUGAUGGAGGGG
rnacentral:rRNA from 5 species